GAGGGGCAUCACGGAAAAGCUUGCUUUUCUGGUGGCGACCGGCGCACGGGUGCGGAACGCGUAUGGAACCUGCCCCUGUCAGGGGAAUAGCCCAGGGAAACUUGGAUUAAUGCCCCAUGGUAUCGUCAUAUCGCAUGAUAUGUUGAUUAAAGAUUUAUCGGACAGGGAUGGCCAUGCGUACCAUUAGUUAGUUGGUGGGGUAACGGCCCACCAAGGCAGCGAUGGUUAGGGGCCCUGAGAGGGGGAUCCCCCACACUGGUACUGAGACACGGACCAGACUCCUACGGGAGGCAGCAGUGAGGAAUAUUGGACAAUGGGCGGGAGCCUGAUCCAGCCAUGCCGCGUGCAGGAUGACGGCCCUAUGGGUUGUAAACUGCUUUUAUACGGGAAGAAACGCACCUACGGGUAGGUGUCUGACGGUACCGUAAGAAUAAGGACCGGCUAACUCCGUGCCAGCAGCCGCGGUAAUACGGAGGGUCCGAGCGUUAUCCGGAAUCAUUGGGUUUAAAGGGUCCGUAGGCGGGCCUGUAAGUCAGGGGUGAAAGUUUGUGGCUCAACCAUAAAAUUGCCUUUGAUACUGCAGGUCUUGAGUCAUGGUGGGGUCGCCGGAACAUGUGGUGUAGCGGUGAAAUGCAUAGAUAUCACAUAGAACACCGAUCGCGAAGGCAGGUGGCCAACCAUGUACUGACGCUGAUGGACGAAAGCGUGGGUAGCGAACGGGAUUAGAUACCCCGGUAGUCCACGCCGUAAACGAUGGAUACUAGCUGUGGGGACCUCGGUCUCCGUGGCCAAGCGAAAGU
rnacentral:rRNA from 1 species